UUUUUGCUGCAUUAUUUGGUUGAUUACAGGUGUGAGGUCUGACAAUGGCUCCUUUGUGCCUUUUCGAGCAGGAGGUUGUAAAUCUCAGAGUUAGAAUGUGUCUGGAACAGUGUCCACACACACUCCUUUAUGUUGACGUGUUGAACACAGAGAACCUCUUAAAAACAAGACAGCAGAGGCCGCGAUGUCUUUAACCCAAACCAUAUCUAACUCGGCUUUUCUAAACACGUCAAUUUGCAAACUUCAUCUACGUCCGCAAAAAAAAAACCUAAAUAAAAAGCCCUAAAAUAUUUAAUUCGUCACUCGAACCCUCAGAUGUAAAUCAACGCGUUUUGAAAGUUAAUCAGUUUUUCAAGCAGCCUCCGGGACAUCACGUCAAUAAACUACAAACUCAUUUUAUUUUCCCUUUCAUAAAGACUACUUCCCCUCUGCCGCGACGCCUUACUUUGAAAUGCCUUGACUUUGAUAAGAAAUUAAUUAACGCUUGAAUGGGGAGGCACAGCGGUAGCGGCACGUUGCCGGACUCCUCUGCGUCUCUGAUACAUAUUGUAAUUGCUGAGUGCUGACCCCUACUCUCGCUGAUGAGCAGCCGGACAGACUUUGACCUUGUGGCGUGUGUGAAUCGAUGGGAAGUUGAUAAAGCCAAGUUCAUUGCUGCCUAACAUAAAACAAAGCUGAUUUGUUUACCUUGCCAAGCCAGCGCGUGUCAAUCCCAUUACGGAAUGAUUUAUAGACCAGCACCCAAUGAAAUUGUUUAAAGCAGAUUAGGUGGAGCCAACGAUCACCACUAAUAUGACAAGCUGAUACGCUGUGACAGGUAACCAAGCAAACAAGUUCCUGAAAUUCAGAUCGAAUUAGAAUCCUAAUAAUCCUACGGGGAGCGGUAGAUUUAAUCAGGAGGGGAGAGAAGGGGAAGUAAAGGGAAGGAGGGAAGAGGAGAGGCUGGAAUAAAAGAUUCUCAGCCAUAUAGGUGGAAGAUAGGGGGGGGGGGGCACCUCGUUUGUGAUUUACUUGUCAGGAUUCAUCACUCAGCUCGUGUGAAAGGGAGCGAGUGAGAAGAAAGUAAGAGUUUUAAUGCUGCUUUGGAUAAAGGAAAUCAUUCCUGAGCAUCCAUUCUCUUCUCAUUCUUCGACACUUCUACAUAUAUACAGUGUACACAUAUGUGUGUGUGUGUGUGUGUGUGUGGGGGGGGGGGUCUGUGCCUGUGUUUCAGCAACGUAUUCAGUUAAAAUUUGUACUAUAACGUCAAAUAUCCCAAGAGAAAAUAUUUGUUUUUAGCGUGAUAGAACACUAGUGUGGUGUAUUUGAUUACAAACAAAUGUGGUGACACAAAUGGAAAUAUUAAUGUAAUUUUAUGUGCAAAGACUCCACUAAAGGAUAUGGGAAGCCAAUGUCCCUCUCAAGAUGAUGAAAGACCCCCUUAAUGGUAUGGAUAUUGUGCUCCAAUAAAGUCUAGUUUAAGGUCAUAGUACAACUGGAACAUCAACUAUUUAAAACAAGAAAAGUAAUCAGAGGAUGUAGUUUAAACCCCACUAAUAUCUCCGAGAGUUCCUACAUAUUCAUCAUGUGUCUUCUCGGCCCCUUUUAUCUCCACACACAGUGUCCUGUUUAUUUGAAAAUAAUGAGAACAAAAUGAGGAAUAAUGCCUCUUUUCCCGGACACAUAAAACUGAUUGUAUCCAAAUUACAGCAUUAAUGUUUAACUAAGGUGCGUCGCUUGGACGUUUGAAUAUGCAUGAACUUCAUUGCAUUUCGGGGGUUGGAAUUUUUUUCAAAUCUCGUUGCAUGCAUUUAUUAUGCGUGUUUAAUAUUUCUCCUUCUCAACGGAACACAAUUAAAAACUUUUGAUGGAUAUUAUUGGCGCCCGCUGAACAUUAGUCACCACAACGUAACCAAAUUAAUAAGCGUCGUUUGAGCGGCUGGUGGCUGUAUUUGUGCUGUUUGAAGCAGGAAAGUACUUUUCAAAGACUAAAAAGUAAGACGAGGGAGGACAAAACGAUAUCUGCGGAUUGGCGGUGGAUAAACAGACUUUUUGAGGCGGCAUCGCUCAAUCUCUUUAGAGUAUUAAAGGGAUGCGUUUCCUUUGCGUGUGCAUAUCACACACACAAGCUGUUAUCCAAACUUCCCCCUUCCAUCUCCUCCACAUCCACUUGAUUAAAACUUCCUUCCAUAAAUGUCAGCAUUCUUCUUCCCUGUGAUGAGAGGACGUGGAGGGGGGGGGGCGAGGGUGGAAGAUAGAAAGUUUCAGAUGGGGACCUAAUUAGGGAGCGCGCAGCCCCGUUCUCCUCUAAUGAGGGGGCUUGUAAUGGCGCUGGGCGGCGGCAGCGGCGGCACGUGUCGCGGCGGGGCCGGAGUGGUGUAGCGCGGCGCGACCGACGAGCAGAUUCCCCCCUUGUGUGAUUCUAACACCUGCAAAUCCCCAACACAUUGAAACCAGGCCUCGUUUGAUGUGCUAUUCUUUUCAUGUUGGGGGGGAACUGGAGGGACCGAGGAGCAGGAACCUAGUUGAAAAGGGGCAUGGUGGUGGUGGUGGUGGUGGUGGUGAAGUGCCGGGGUCUAUUAGACGUUUUAAUAAUGUUAAUUAAUGAAUAAUAGGCUUCGUAAUGAGCUACCAGCUGCAUUUUAUUCAUGUGAUUACCUCAACUAAUCCUCUCCGUGAGCACCGUCAGGGGAAGCGACGGAGCGACGCGCACCAUCUCCUCCGCCUGAACUGCUCACCAGCAGAAAUCCAAACCUGACCCUCUCCUCCCCCAGCAUGAAUUAGGACAGGGAAGUGGUCUUGGUGCUCUAGUGUUCGUGGGCCCCAGCAGGCCCUCCAAUGACUUAUGGACCCCCUCCACAGGAAAUGAGAGCGUUAUCAGCCACCAAUUAGGCCGAGCGGGUGAUUUACACACGCGCGCUUUGCAGAGACACGACACGUGAUUUAUACGAGUCAAACAGGUGGUUCUGUCUUUUUUACUCGCUGUCGCCCCUCCCGUGGCGUGAGAGUGAUCCAGAGCGCGGCGAGCAUGUGGGUCGAUCCUCCACUCCCUCCGUCCGUCUCCCUUUCUCUCCCCCUCUCUCCCCCCCUCUCUCUCCCUCUCUCUCUCUCUCUCUCCCUCUCUGAGCCUUUAAUCUUUCCUCUCUCCUCGUGCAUGUCAUCUGCUCCGUCCCUCGGCAGGAAACGGCUGAAGAACCAAAAUGCAGCCACUAGUGACCCCCCUCCCUCCUCCUCCCCCCCCGCCUGGUGUUGUUAGUUUGCAUACACAAAAAACAUGUGCUACACACAGACACACACGCACACACACCUGCUUCAUCUGACACCUUUCUUAUUCGCUGGAUUCCGAGCCGUCUCCCCUCACUUUCUAUUGAUUUGGAAAUCGAUAGCAGCUCCACCAGAGUUGUCAAUGUGAAAUAGUGUUACACAGAAUCUGCUCGAGUAAAGAUUUCAAAACUACAACUGGGCCCCGAAUCUUCUGCACGUCAGGCUUUAUAAUGACAGAAAUAAAUUAAUGGGGUCAGUCCGGGGACAUCGUUUUGCCAACUGAAAGCCUUCGGAAGGACACCUGAGAUCUCCUCAAAGCCGCCUGUCGGACUCUCUUGGACUUCUAUAAACACCCCCGUCCAGGUCUGUAAAGAUUCUCAUUAAACCCCGUCCUCAUUGGAAGCCUCAGCACACAGUCGGCCAACAUUGUGUCGCGAAUUCCUUUCUUCCGCUGCUGGUCCGUCCCUCUCUCCUCGUUCUGUCAGCUGGAGGACAAAAAGCAGCCGGGGCCGCAA
ensembl:lncRNA